UUUGGAGUUUGAUUCCUGGGUUCCGGACGAACCGCCGGCGGCCUGCCUUAAUACCUGCAAAGUGGAACGCUGAAGCACUCUGCUUGCAGAGUGCGGAUGAGUGGCGAACGGGUGAGUAACACGUGGGAAAUCUGCCUAGGAGUGGGGGAUAACAUUCGGAAACGGAUGCUAAUACCGCAUAUCUUUUUGAACCGCAUGGUUCUUAAACGAAAGACGGCUUCGGCUGUCGCUCUUAGAUGAUCCCGCGGCGUAUUAGUUAGUUGGUGGGGUAAAGGCCUACCAAGACCAUGAUACGUAGCCGACCUGAGAGGGUGAUCGGCCACACUGGGACUGAGACACGGCCCAGACUCCUACGGGAGGCAGCAGUAGGGAAUCUUCCACAAUGGGUGAAAACCUGAUGGAGCAAUGCCGCGUGAAUGAAGAAGGUCUUCGGAUCGUAAAGUUCUGUUAUUAGAGAAGAACAAGUCAAGGAGUAACUGUCUUGACUUUGACGGUACCUAAUCAGAAAGUCACGGCUAACUACGUGCCAGCAGCCGCGGUAAUACGUAGGUGACAAGCGUUGUCCGGAAUUAUUGGGCGUAAAGGGAGCGCAGGCGGUUGGAAUAGUCUGAUGUGAAAGCCCACGGCUUAACCGUGGAAGGUCAUUGGAAACUGUCCAACUUGAAUGCAGAAGAGGUAAGUGGAAUUCCAUGUGUAGCGGUGAAAUGCGUAGAUAUAUGGAGGAACACCAGUGGCGAAGGCGACUUACUGGUCUGUGAUUGACGCUGAGGCUCGAAAGCGUGGGUAGCGAACAGGAUUAGAUACCCUGGUAGUCCACGCCGUAAACGAUGAGUGCUAAGUGUUGGAGGGUUUCCGCCCUUCAGUGCUGGAGUUAACGCAU
rnacentral:rRNA from 1 species